rnacentral:rRNA from 1 species
GAUGAACGCUGGCGGCGUGCCUAAUACAUGCAAGUCGAGCGAACGGACGAGAAGCUUGCUUCUCUGAUGUUAGCGGCGGACGGGUGAGUAACACGUGGAUAACCUACCUAUAAGACUGGGAUAACUUCGGGAAACCGGAGCUAAUACCGGAUAAUAUUUUGAACCGCAUGGUUCAAAAGUAAAAGACGGACUUGCUGUCACUUAUAGAUGGAUCCGCGCUGCAUUAGCUAGUUGGUAAGGUAACGGCUUACCAAGGCAACGAUGCAUAGCCGACCUGAGAGGGUGAUCGGCCACACUGGAACUGAGACACGGUCCAGACUCCUACGGGAGGCAGCAGUAGGGAAUCUUCCGCAAUGGGCGAAAGCCUGACGGAGCAACGCCGCGUGAGUGAUGAAGGUCUUCGGAUCGUAAAACUCUGUUAUUAGGGAAGAACAUAUGUGUAAGUAACUGUGCACAUCUUGACGGUACCUAAUCAGAAAGCCACGGCUAACUACGUG